rnacentral:rRNA from 2 species
GCGCUGGAACAAACAGUGAUGCUUACAUGUAAAGCAGGGAUAGUGGCUCUUAGGCUCUCUAUCAGUAAGGGUAUAACCUGCAUGGUAGGGGGCAUAAUGCCAAUAGCAAUGGAACCACCAGCUACAUCCUGAGCAAAGGCGGCUUCCUGGCGCAAAUUACUAAGGUCAGAAACCGUUUGGCGUGCCCAUGCCAGAACACGUUGGCCUUCUUCCGUCAGUCCAUUAAAGCGCCUGUUACGGUUUAUAAUGGUAAUUCCCAGUUCGCUUUCUAGCUGCCGUAUUCCGGCAGAAAGAGCGGGUUGAGACACACCGCAAUGUUCUGCCGCGCGUGAAAAAUGACGAUAUUUGUCUAGGGCAAUCAAAUAAGAAAGCUGGCGUAAAAACAUGGUUUGAAAUGAACCUAAUGUGAUCUUCAGGAAAGCAAAGUGCGUGCGAGUGGAAUAACAGUGUCCUUUGUAAACGGCGCCAAAGGCAGAUCAUCCGGAAGAUUGAAAGGAUUAAUCCAUAUAAUUUGCUCAAUCUCAGCUGCGGGUGAAACUGCUUCGGUCUGAAUAGGUAACUGAAACAACUCGGCCUCAAUAAUAUGGUUGGGCUCAUUGGCGGCAGGAGCACGAAAGCAGCCAAUAUGGCUUUGUGCGGGAACAGAAACCGUCAGCGACAAUUCUUCCUGCAACUCGCGCUCCAGUGUUUGCUCUGGUCUUUCACCUGUUUCUCGCUUGCCCCCAGGUUGCAUAAAAAAGCGUGUUCCAUGUUUUCGUACCAAGAGAAUGUUCUUGGCAGGGGAAACCAGUAAGGCUGUUGCAAGAUAAAUGGUCCGCGGAGAAGAAGGCAUAAAAAUUUUCUCCUGCAAAAUAGGGAAUAAGCCGUGUGUAACCUGAAAUGAGAUGUGCCGUUAGGGCAGAAAAUUCAGUUUAUACGGCAGUCAUACAGAAAGGUAAUCUCACGGUAACCUUGGAAAACCGCCAUUUUUUGAGGGUAUGGCCGUUCUGAGUAGAAUCGGGUUUUGUGGAAAAGUUCUUAUUUUUCAGUGUGUUGUAUUUUUUCUGAUUUUGGGUGUUGACGGUGUAAUGGGAUGGGGUGUAGAAGCUGCUUCACCGAGACGGAGUGGUCUUGGCGGGUUUAGAAAGAUCUGCUAGGUUAUUCGGCUCUUUUGGUCUUUGACAAGAGAAUAUGAUAGAGAGGGAUAUGCUGACGGCGUGUCUUUCUGAUCUAGGCUUCGGUUUAGGUUGGGGGAAUUGAUAGGUUUUUAGGAACCUUUUGGACGUUUUGUUGGUAUAUCUUUUGAUAUGCGUUUUGACAGAUGUUUCGAAUUAGCUGGCCUUUUGGUGAGUUAAUUUAUUGAGAAGGGUCCUUAGUUUGUUGUGCUGCUUUGGUGGCAUGAUGAACCUGAGAGUUUGAUCCUGGCUCAGAGCGAACGCUGGCGGCAUGCUUAACACAUGC